rnacentral:rRNA from 1 species
AUAGAACCUUUUAUGCUAAAACUAGUAACAAGAGGUAAAUCCUCUCUACAAUGUCGAUACAAGCCAGCAAGAACCCACCACUGGCAAUUGACAGACCUAUUAAGAGUAGCAACUCCUCGAGAAAACACUACUCCAACUAACUGUUAACCUAAUACCAGAACAUUUCAAGAAAGAUUAAAAGAAAGAGAAGGAAUUCGGCAAACAUUAGCCCCGCCUGUUUACCAAAAACACCGCCUCUUGUUCAUAUAAGAGGUCCAGCCUGCCCAGUGACUUCUGUUCAACGGCCGCGGUAUCCUAACCGUGCAAAGGUAGCGUAAUCACUUGUCUUCUAAAUAAAGACUAGUAUGAAAGGCAUCACGAGGACUAAACUGUCUCCUCUCCCUAAUCAGUGAACCUAAUAACCCCGUGAAGAAGCGGGGAUAUCUAUAUAAGACGAGAAGACCCUAUGGAGCUUAAAACAUCAUAACACCUGCCACCCCACUUAUUUACCCCGGUUUUCACCCCUGUGGCUCUCUGAUUAUAUGUUUUUGGUUGGGGCGACCGCGGAGAAAAACCUAUCCUCCACAAUGAAAGGGCCCCCCCCCUAAACAGUAAGCUACAACUUUAUGUAUCAGCAAACUGACAUCCAUUGACCCAAUAUAUUUGAUUAACGAACCAAGUUACCCUAGGGAUAACAGCGCAAUCCACUUUGAGAGCCCAUAUCGACAAGUGGGCUUACGACCUCGAUGUUGGAUCGGGGUAUCCUAGUGGUGCAGCCGCU